rnacentral:rRNA from 1 species
GAAGCUGGAAUCGCUAGUAAUCGCAGAUCAGAAUGCUGCGGUGAAUACGUUCCCGGGUCUUGUACACACCGCCCGUCACACCAUGGGAGUUGGAAAUGCCCGAAGCCAGUGACCCAACCGUAAGGAGGGAGCUGUCGAAGGUGGAGCCGAUGACUGGGGUGAAGUCGUAACAAGGUAUC